UGAAGAGGAGGGGCACAGAUUUGAAAUCCCCCCGGGGAGUUGUAAUUUGAAGAUUGCGUCUUGGAGGCGACCGUGUCUAUGUUCCUUAGGAACAGGACGUCACAGAGGGUGAGAAUCCCGUGCGGCACGGCCCCCGGCUCCUUAUAAGGCGCUCUCGACGAGUCGAGUUGUUUGGGAAUGCAGCUCAAAGUGGGUGGUAAAUUCCAUCUAAAGCUAAAUACAGGCGAGAGACCGAUAGCGAACAAGUACAGUGAUGGAAAGAUGAAAAGCACUUUGAAAAGAGAGUGAAACAGCACGUGAAAUUGUUGAAAGGGAAGGGCAUGCCGUCAGAUUGUCAGUGUGGGUAAGAAGCGGGGUACAAAGACUGUGGAACGUGGCCCUCGGGUGUUAUAGCCGCAGUUCAUGCCCCGUCUCUUUCCGAGGCCUGCUUUGAGGACACCGACGUAAUGACGGUACGCCGC
rnacentral:rRNA from 1 species